rnacentral:lncRNA from 1 species
GGGUGGCCCAAUGGGGAGAAAACUAAGGAUUCGGUGUUGGGACCACUCCUGCCCUGACCUGCCCUGUGACUCCGUCAUACUCUCCAAAGGCCAGACCCUCCUAGACCAGCUGGAACCACCAUCAAGAUGUCCCCAGCCAUGUCAGACUCUGGGGCCCCAGGCGGAGGGCAACCAGAUGUCUUCAGCUCCAAGUCUGGCCUCUCCUCCCAGCAAGCAGCCAUUACAGAAACUGAGGCUUGG